GUCAGUAGGUUUAGUCACGAAAUGGUAAGCCAGUGCUUUUAUAAUAUUAUAAUUGUAAAUAUUACAUAAAACCAAGUAAUUGAAUGGAUCCAGAGCAAAGUAAAUGUAGUCCUGUAAGUCUGUGCUGCUCCAAGAAGAAUGAAUAUUCCAAGCAUCCAAGUCAGACGAUUAUUUUUUACAUUCUAUCACAUAGGCUUGUGAAGCUGUGUAGACCCUCAGAUGAUUUGUACCAUCUGAGGCAAGAGACAAACUAAACUUUGAUAUGUGUAUUAAUCACAGUAUAGUAGAGCAUCUCGUCUUUUACAGUGGAAAUACAUCAUUUUUAUUUAAUUAUAAUCAGUUCAAUUUGCUGUGCAUUGGUUUUUGUUUUUACUUUUUGAAUUAAGUUCUAAAAUAAAUUCAAUAAAGUGUGUAAAGUACAUUUACUUUAGAAAUAUGUUUUAUUAACCACCCAGAUCAAGGUACAGAAUUUUUCCAGUACCCAGAAUAUUCAUCCUUGUGACCCUUCCCAGACAGUAUCCAUCUCACCCCCACUACCUAUUCUGACUUCUGUCACCACCAGUUAAUUUUACCUGUUUUUGAACCUCAUUUAAAUAGAAUUGUGUAGCAUGUUCUUUUUCUGAGUGUGUAUCGGCUUCAGUUAAUGUAAUGUGUUUCUUUGAGGUAUGUGCAUGUUGUUAAGUAUAUAUGUAUGUUUUUAGGUUUGUUUUGUUUUUGCUAUGUAGUAUUUCAUUCUCCUGAUAAUAGAUACUUGGAGUUUUUUUGGUUUGUUUGUUUGGUUUUGACUACUGUGAAAAAACUACAAAGAAUAUUCCAGAAGUGUCUGGGUAGAUAUGCACUGAUUUCUUUUGGGUAUAUACUGAAGAGUGAGAUUUUUAGCCUUACAAUAGGUACUGCCAGAGUAUCUACUUUUCCAGAGUAGUUGUACCUCCGCUUCUCCUAGUUAUGUGUGACUGUUCUAGUCCUUGUUCACACUUGUAUCACUAGUCUUUUCUAAUUUUAGCCAUUUUGGUGGGUAUAUAGGGAUAUCUCAUGGUGGUUUUAAUUUGCAUUUCCUUGAUGGGUAAUGAUGUCAGACACCUUUCCUUGGAUAUCCCUUUUUACGAAGCGCCCAUUCAAGUCACUUUCUCAUUAUUAAAAUUUUGUUAUUUUGUCUAUUUGUUAAUUACUUUCUAAGAAUUCUUAAAAUAUUCUCAUAUGAGUCUUUUGUUAGAUAUAUGUAUUACAACUAUUUUCCCCAAUGUGUGGCUUACCUUUAUUCUCUCUGAAUGAUGUUUGGUGAACAGAAGUUUUUAUUUUAAUGGCAUCUAAUUCCUUAUUUUCCCUCAUUUAUGAUUAUUGCUACUUACGAAAUCUUUGCUUACCCCCAAGGUUGUAUUUAUUUUUAAGGCAGUCUACAGAGAGUUUAUGGAGAAUGCUUUGAAAACAUGUGACUUUAAAGUUGUAUGUCUCAUGGUGGAGUAAAUUAAUGCUCCCCCCCCAUCAUUUCUCUAUGAUGAAACAGAAAAACACUACUUCAGUAUUCUAAGUAGGAAAUUAAUCACAAAUGUAUAGAAUACUGUCCGUUUUAAAAUAUAUGCUUAAGGGAUCAGAACUCAAGUUCACACUGAAAAUAAUUUCCUCGUCUCAUUGAAAUGCAAAAUGAAAUAAUUUGUCAAGCUUUGGUAAUUAAUAAGGUAAAGUGUAUAUAUAUAGGGAUUAAAUUACUGAUAAUUAUUAAACUUUUAAUAAUGUUUUUGAACUAUAAAUGUGAAGUUCCAGAUUGAAGGGAAGCAGAGAAGGGUGUUGGAGGGCUGCGUGAAGCUGAUUGUGUCAGGCCUAAUAGGCCAUUAAGGUUUUUGGCUUUUAUUCUAAGAUAGAGUCAUGAGAGGAUUUUGAGCAGAGGAAUGACUUGGUCAUAGAGGAUUGCUCUGACUGCUCAUAUUAAAAAGAGACUAAGUGGGAGCAAGGAGAUGGCGAGACUAUUAAAACAGUCCAGAAGAGAAAUGAUGUUGGUUUGAUCCAAGACUGUAGCCGAGGAGGUAGUGAGAAAUGGUUGGAUUUUGGAUGUGUUUUCAAGGUAGAGUUAGAGUCAAACUCUGAUAAAAGAAGGAGAUGAGCCAGAGAUGAUUUUAAGAUCAUUUUGACCUUUGAUUGUGAUUACAUGAAUUCAGCUCAUAGUAUAUGUUACAUUUCUUUUUAAUGACCAGAAAUUUGAGCAGAGUUUUUUUAUAAAGUUGUUAAUCAUCACAUUGUCAUAAUCCUACAACCCAAAAAGCCUACCAGUAGGGGAAGAUGGAACGUAAUAGCAGCUUUUAAAAAGAUUUAUGAAUUAUUUUAAUACAUUGGAAAAUGCCUAUAAUGUUAGUUUUAAAAAACUAAGAUAUGAAAUAAUAUGUAGUGAAUUUUCUAUUUAAAAUUAUAUAUCAUACAUUUACAGAAAAGAAGAGGAAAGAGUCUAGAGUCAUAAAAAUCUUGAGUGGUUAUUCCUCCUGAGCAAUAGGGUUAAAGACCCUGACAACCACUCAUCAGUUUUCUGUCUGUAUGGAUUUGCUUAUUCUGGACAUUUCAUUAAAAUGGAGUCAUACAAUUAGUAAACUGAAAAAUGGAAAAGUCAAAGAACUUACCCUCAGUUCAUAGUAAGUACGUUGUGAAGCCAGUAUUCUAACCUAGGUUGUCCCACCUCAGAGCCCCACUAUGAUAAUCUUUUGUUUCCUUUCCAAGGGAGGUGGCCCCAAGCAAAAGCCUCUGAGGAAGUGUGGUGUAUACUCUUUUGAAAGAAUACAGAUAUGAGGGGAGUACACUGAAAGUAGCUCAGGACAGGUGGGGUCUUUUUUUUCUUUCUUUUUGGCCACACUGCGCCACAUGCAGGAUCUUAGUUUCCCAACCAGGGGUAGAAUCUGUGGUCCCUGCAGUGGAAGCUCAGAAUCUUAACCACUGGACCACAAGGGAAGUCCCAGGGUGGGGUCUUAUGGAAGAAGAGAAGUGAGUGGGAUAAGAAACUCAAGAAAUAGAUGAAGCCAAAUUGUACAAAACUUUCCUGUUCAUUUAAGAGAGUUUAAUGAGAUUGGACUAUGCAUUUUUUUUCACAUCUUUAUUGGAGUAUAAUUGCUUUACAAUGGCGUGUUGGUUUCUGCCUUACAACAAAGUGAAUCAGCUAUACAUGUGCAUAUAUCCCCAUAUCUCCUCCCUCUUGCGUCUCUAUCCCACCCGUCUAGAUGGUCACAAAGCACCAAGCUGAUCUCUUUGUACUAUGUGGCUGCUUCCCACUAGCUAUCUAUUUUACGUUUGGUAGUGUAUAUAUAUCCAUGCCACUCUCUCACUUUGUCCCAGCUUACCCUUCCCCUUCCCCGUGUCCUCAAGUCCAUUCUCUACAUCUGCAUCUUUAGUCCUGUUCUGCCCCUAGGUUUUUCAGAACCUUUUCUUUCUUAGAUUCCAUACAUAUGUGUUAACAUACAGUAUUUGUUUUUCUCUUUCUGACUUACUUCACUCUGUAUGACAGACUCUAGGUCCAUCACCUCACUACAAAUAACUGAAUUUUGUUUCCUUUUAUGGCUGAGUAAUAUUCCAUUGUAUAUAUGUGCCACAUCUUCUUUAUCCAUUCAUCUGUUGAUGGACACAUAGGUUGCUUCCAUGUCAUGGCUAUUGUA